rnacentral:rRNA from 1 species
CCUACGUGUGGCUGCAGUGAGGAAUAUUGGUCAAUGGGCGCGAGCCUGAACCAGCCAAGUAGCGUGAAGGAUGACUGCCCUACGGGUUGUAAACUUCUUUUAUAAAGGAAUAAAGUGAGGCACGUGUGCCUUUUUGUAUGUACUUUAUGAAUAAGGAUCGGCUAACUCCGUGCCAGCAGCCGCGGUAAUACGGAGGAUCCGAGCGUUAUCCGGAUUUAUUGGGUUUAAAGGGAGCGUAGAUGGGUUGUUAAGUCAGUUGUGAAAGUUGGCGGCUCAACCGUAAAAUUGCAAUUGAAACUGGCAGUCCUGAGUACAGUUGAGGUAGGCGGAAUUCGUGGGGGAGCGGUGAAAUGCUUAGAUAUCACGAAGAAACCCGAUUGGGAAGGCAGGUUAAUAAACUGCCACUGACAUUGAUGGUCGAAAGUGUGGGUAAUAAACAGGAUUAGAUACCCCUAGUAGUC